rnacentral:rRNA from 1 species
UACGUAGGUGGCAAGCGUUGUCCGGAAUUACUGGGUGUAAAGCGCGUGUAGGCGGGAGGCCAAGUCUGCUGUGAAAUCGCUCGGCUCAACUGGGCGGGGUCGGUGGAAACUGGUCACCUGGAGGACGGUAGAGGCGAGUGGAAUUCCCGGUGUAGUGGUGAAAUGCGUAGAUAUCUGGAGGAACACCGGUGGCGAAGGCGGCAUCCUGGACCGGCAUUGACGCUGAGGCGCGAAAGCCAGGGGAGCAAACGGG